rnacentral:tRNA from 1 species
CGGGGUGUAGCGCAGUCCGGUUAGCGCGCCUGCUUUGGGAGCAGGAGGUCGGCGGUUCGAAUCCGCCCACCCCGA